rnacentral:rRNA from 1 species
GGUUAAGCGACUAAGCGUACACGGUGGAUGCCCUGGCAGUCAGAGGCGAUGAAGGACGUGCUAAUCUGCGAUAAGCGUCGGUAAGGUGAUAUGAACCGUUAUAACCGGCGAUUUCCGAAUGGGGAAACCCAGUGUGUUUCGACACACUAUCAUUAACUGAAUCCAUAGGUUAAUGAGGCGAACCGGGGGAACUGAAACAUCUAAGUACCCCGAGGAAAAGAAAUCAACCGAGAUUCCCCCAGUAGCGGCGAGCGAACGGGGAGCAGCCCAGAGCCUGAAUCAGUGUGUGUGUUAGUGGAAGCGUCUGGAAAGGCGCGCGAUACAGGGUGACAGCCCCGUACACAAAAAUGCACAUGCUGUGAGCUCGAUGAGUAGGGCGGGACACGUGGUAUCCUGUCUGAAUAUGGGGGGACCAUCCUCCAAGGCUAAAUACUCCUGACUGACCGAUAGUGAACCAGUACCGUGAGGGAAAGGCGAAAAGAACCCCGGCGAGGGGAGUGAAAAAGAACCUGAAACCGUGUACGUACAAGCAGUGGGAGCACAGAGCAAUCUGUGUGACUGCGUACCUUUUGUAUAAUGGGUCAGCGACUUAUAUUCUGUAGCAAGGUUAACCGAAUAGGGGAGCCGAAGGGAAACCGAGUCUUAACUGGGCGUUAAGUUGCAGGGUAUAGACCCGAAACCCGGUGAUCUAGCCAUGGGCAGGUUGAAGGUUGGGUAACACUAACUGGAGGACCGAACCGACUAAUGUUGAAAAAUUAGCGGAUGACUUGUGGCUGGGGGUGAAAGGCCAAUCAAACCGGGAGAUAGCUGGUUCUCCCCGAAAGCUAUUUAGGUAGCGCCUCGUGAAUUCAUCUCCGGGGGUAGAGCACUGUUUCGGCAAGGGGGUCAUCCCGACUUACCAACCCGAUGCAAACUGCGAAUACCGGAGAAUGUUAUCACGGGAGACACACGGCGGGUGCUAACGUCCGUCGUGAAGAGGGAAACAACCCAGACCGCCAGCUAAGGUCCCAAAGUCAUGGUUAAGUGGGAAACGAUGUGGGAAGGCCCAGACAGCCAGGAUGUUGGCUUAGAAGCAGCCAUCAUUUAAAGAAAGCGUAAUAGCUCACUGGUCGAGUCGGCCUGCGCGGAAGAUGUAACGGGGCUAAACCAUGCACCGAAGCUGCGGCAGCGACGCUGAUGCGUUGUUGGGUAGGGGAGCGUUCUGUAAGCCUGCGAAGGUGUGCUGUGAGGCAUGCUGGAGGUAUCAGAAGUGCGAAUGCUGACAUAAGUAACGAUAAAGCGGGUGAAAAGCCCGCUCGCCGGAAGACCAAGGGUUCCUGUCCAACGUUAAUCGGGGCAGGGUGAGUCGACCCCUAAGGCGAGGCCGAAAGGCGUAGUCGAUGGGAAACAGGUUAAUAUUCCUGUACUUGGUGUUACUGCGAAGGGGGGACGGAGAAGGCUAUGUUGGCCGGGCGACGGUUGUCCCGGUUUAAGCGUGUAGGCUGGUUUUCCAGGCAAAUCCGGAAAAUCAAGGCUGAGGCGUGAUGACGAGGCACUACGGUGCUGAAGCAACAAAUGCCCUGCUUCCAGGAAAAGCCUCUAAGCAUCAGGUAACAUCAAAUCGUACCCCAAACCGACACAGGUGGUCAGGUAGAGAAUACCAAGGCGCUUGAGAGAACUCGGGUGAAGGAACUAGGCAAAAUGGUGCCGUAACUUCGGGAGAAGGCACGCUGAUAUGUAGGUGAAGCGACUUGCUCGUGGAGCUGAAAUCAGUCGAAGAUACCAGCUGGCUGCAACUGUUUAUUAAAAACACAGCACUGUGCAAACACGAAAGUGGACGUAUACGGUGUGACGCCUGCCCGGUGCCGGAAGGUUAAUUGAUGGGGUCAGCGCAAGCGAAGCUCUUGAUCGAAGCCCCGGUAAACGGCGGCCGUAACUAUAACGGUCCUAAGGUAGCGAAAUUCCUUGUCGGGUAAGUUCCGACCUGCACGAAUGGCGUAAUGAUGGCCAGGCUGUCUCCACCCGAGACUCAGUGAAAUUGAACUCGCUGUGAAGAUGCAGUGUACCCGCGGCAAGACGGAAAGACCCCGUGAACCUUUACUAUAGCUUGACACUGAACAUUGAGCCUUGAUGUGUAGGAUAGGUGGGAGGCUUUGAAGUGUGGACGCCAGUCUGCAUGGAGCCGACCUUGAAAUACCACCCUUUAAUGUUUGAUGUUCUAACGUGGACCCGUAAUCCGGGUUGCGGACAGUGUCUGGUGGGUAGUUUGACUGGGGCGGUCUCCUCCUAAAGAGUAACGGAGGAGCACGAAGGUUGGCUAAUCCUGGUCGGACAUCAGGAGGUUAGUGCAAUGGCAUAAGCCAGCUUGACUGCGAGCGUGACGGCGCGAGCAGGUGCGAAAGCAGGUCAUAGUGAUCCGGUGGUUCUGAAUGGAAGGGCCAUCGCUCAACGGAUAAAAGGUACUCCGGGGAUAACAGGCUGAUACCGCCCAAGAGUUCAUAUCGACGGCGGUGUUUGGCACCUCGAUGUCGGCUCAUCACAUCCUGGGGCUGAAGUAGGUCCCAAGGGUAUGGCUGUUCGCCAUUUAAAGUGGUACGCGAGCUGGGUUUAGAACGUCGUGAGACAGUUCGGUCCCUAUCUGCCGUGGGCGCUGGAGAACUGAGGGGGGCUGCUCCUAGUACGAGAGGACCGGAGUGGACGCAUCACUGGUGUUCGGGUUGUCAUGCCAAUGGCACUGCCCGGUAGCUAAAUGCGGAAGAGAUAAGUGCUGAAAGCAUCUAAGCACGAAACUUGCCCCGAGAUGAGUUCUCCCUGACUCCUUGAGAGUCCUGAAGGAACGUUGAAGACGACGACGUUGAUAGGCCGGGUGUGUAAGCGCAGCGAUGCGUUGAGCUAACCGGUACUAAUGAACCGUGAGGCUUAACCUU